UGUUUAUCAAAAACAUGGCUUCUUGGUUAUAAGAUAUAAGAGGUCUGGCCUGCCCGGUGGAGUAAAUUCUCAACGGUCGCAGCUACCACUGUGCGAAGGUAGCGUAAUAGGUCGUCCUUUAAUUGGGGGAAAGUAUGAAUGGUCGGAUGUUGGAAAGACUUUAUUUAAAAUAGCGGUGGAAAUUUACUUUUUAGUGCAAAGGCUAAGAUGGGAUUAUUAGACGAGAAGACCCUGUUGAGCUUGGUAAUAUCUACUCGUGAGGGGUGGGGGAUAUGUUUUUUCGGGGCUGAAAGGAAGGGAAAAUAAUGCCUUCUUGAUUGAAUAUGAGGAUCCAGUAGGACUGAAAAGAAGAAGAUAGCUACCACAGGGAUAACAGCGCAAUCAUUAUGAUAAGGCCAUAUUUUAUUAAUGGUUUGCGACCUCGAUGUUGAAUCAGAAUUUCUUUUAGGUGUAGCAGCUUAAGACAGUGGGACUGUUCGUCCUUUAAAAUUCUACGUGAUCUGAGUUCAGA
rnacentral:rRNA from 1 species